AGCUGAGGGUGGAAUCACCGGCAAGCGGUCUCACAGGAGGGCCGGUUCUGCGGUCUUAGGGGUUGGGUGUCAUGAUAGGAGAGGGGCUGGUGCUGCUGUGUGUGCGGCCUAUUUGGGGCAGACAGACACCCCAGGCUCCUUGAGUCUGCAUGCUUCCUGCCAUCUACACCAGUCUUCUUCUCCCUUCCCUGAUCCCUGGGCAUCAGCAUCAUGGGCCCAGGUGGCCUUGGGCCAGGGAUGGCGUAGGCCAGUCAAGGCCUCACCCAGACGUCACCACCCCCUUCUUACAGUCCGCCAGCUCCUCAGGAGUGGAGUCAGCCCCGACCUGGCCAAUGAGGAUGGGCUGACAGCACUGCACCAGGUCAGCCUGUGUGCGGGGUGGGCAGGGCAGGGGCUGGCAGGGCUCAGGCCACUCAGGCUGUGUGUUUGCAGUGCUGCAUUGAUGAUUUCCGAGAGAUGGUGCAACAGCUCCUGGAGGCUGGGGCUGACGUCAAUGCCCGUGACAGCGAGUGCUGGACCCCCCUGCAUGCUGCAGCCACCUGUGGCCACCUGCACCUGGUGGAGCUUCUCAUUGCCCGGUAGUGUCCAUUGGGCCUUUAUCAUGGAGGGGCUUUCUCACAGAUGGCAGCUCAUGUGGCUAUUCUGUGAAGCUGGUCAGGUCCUGGCUUCCUGUGUCCUCACCUCUGUCCAUCCUGCUUGAGACCCCUGGGGGAUAGUUUGGGCCCACCUGGUAGGCUGGACCACCAGCUCUGGAUGGAGGGCCUUCUCAUGGUCUCCCCUGAGAAAUGCCAUUCUGGUUAGGGUUGAGGGUAGAACGAAUAAGGGGGUAAGGGGAGCAGAGAGGCCAGGUGGGUCUCGGAGGGUGUGCGUGGGUAUCGGUGAGGACUUUUCUCCAACAGGAAGGAAGGUGGAGUGGGGAGUGGUGGUAAGCCCUGUAACUCCAGCUACUUGGGAGGCUGCGACAGGAGGAUCUCAAGUUCAAGGCCAGCCUGGGCAACUUAGAUCUUAUCUCAAAGAUUAAAAAAAAAUGUUUUGGUGGUAUUGGGGAUUAAACUCAGGAUCUCAGGCUAGGCAGCCAUUCUACCACUAAGCUAUAUCCCCAGCCCUUUAAAGUAAAAAAAGAAAAAAUAAAAAAGUAACAAUUAAUGAAAGGACUGAGGAUGUAGCUCAGCUUUUGCCAAGGGUGGACGUGGCUUUGGGUUCAAUCCCUAGUUACACACACACACACACACAUAAAUAAAUAAAUAAAUAGGACUGGGGAUUUUACUUAGUGUUAAAGCACAUCUGGGCUCAGUCCCCAGUACUGGGGGAUGGGAGGAGGAUGGAGCAGAGGAGGUUAGUGGCUUCCUCAGGUUCAGGAGCCUGUCCUUCCUCCCCCCAUCCUGGGCCUCUCCAGUAGAUCAGAGAUCCUCGUGUGGGUGACUGGCUGUUGCCAUCACACAUAAGUGCCUCCUCUGAGUAGAGCAGUAGCCAUGCAGCAAACAGGCCCCCAGGCUCCCCUUGGAGCUGGUGACAGGCUGCAGGUGGGUUCCAAACCUUAGGCAGCCCCUCUGUGUCCUUUGCUCCCCCCAGCUCCCCUUCCCCCAGGCCUGCUUCCCCUGAUCUGUGGGCUCAAAAUCAGCAACUGCUUGGCUUUCUUGCUUCACUUCUCCCUGGGGUCCCCAGAGUGCUGCGUACCUCCUGCAGGUGUACCCUGUAUUUAUGGGGGACAGACGGGUGCCUUGGGCCUUGAAGCCCAGAUGGGUAGACUGCAGGAUGGCCUGUCUGCCUGAGGAACAAGAUCCAGAGCUGAGGGCCUUCCAGAUGAGCCCAGAGGCUUCCUCUCCCAACAGCAGCUAGAACCUACGAGUCCUCCCCAUGUCUGCUGGCACUUCCUGAAGGCAGUCCGAGGCUCAGGGAGGACUUGCUGAAAGGGGACUGAGCAGCCGGCAGCUCUCAUCCGUCCUCCCUGCAGGGGUGCUGAUCUCCUGGCAGUCAACACUGAUGGGAACAUGCCUUAUGACCUGUGUGAGGAUGAGCAGACACUGGACUGCCUGGAGACUGCCAUGGCCCACAGGGGUGAGUGUGCUGUGCCUGCCUGCUCGGGUGGGCCUGGGCAUUCCGUCUCUGAGCCUGCUGCUCCACAGGCAUCACCCAGGACAGCAUUGAGGAGGCCCGGGCCGUGCCAGAGCUGCUCAUGCUGAAGGACCUCCAGAGCCUUCUGCAUGUUGGGGCUGACCUCAAUGACCCGCUGGACCAUGGAGCCACACUGGUGAGGACUUGGCCACGUGGAGGGGGUCUGUUCAGGGGCUGGGGGCUUGUUGGGUGGGUGUGGGACUGGGAUUCAGGGCGGGGUGGCCUGCCUGCAGCUGCACAUGGCCGCCGCCAGUGGGUUCAGUGAGGCAGCUGCCCUGCUGCUGGAGCAUGGAGCCAGCCUGACUGCCAAGGACCUCGACGGCUGGGAGCCGCUGCACGCUGCCGCCUACUGGGGACAGGUGAGUGUGGUCAGGAGCAGAUGCUGAGCGGGCUCUUGGCUGCGGCUCAAGCCCUCAGCAGCCCCCACUGGCUGGCCUGCAGGUGCACCUGGUGGAGCUGCUUGUGGCAAACGGGGCCGACCUGAAUGGGAGAUCCCUGACGGAUGAGACACCCCUUGGUGAGCUCCAGGGCUGCCUCCACCUGGGGGAAGGGACAGGCAGGGAGGGCCCCUGUGACGCUUGUGGUCAUCUCUCAGAUGUCUGUGGUGAUGAGGAGGUGCGGGCCAGGCUGCUGCAGCUGAAGCAGAAGCAGGAGGCACUCUUGCGAGCCCAGGGCCGCCAGCGCUCCCUGCUGCGCCGCCGCGCCUCCAGUGCAGGCAGCCGCGGGUGAGCUGCCCCACAGUCCAUGCCCAGCCCCCACCCCGGCUGUGCCUCAGGAUGGAUGGGAUGUCAGCCUGCAGGUGGAGCUGCCAGCACAACUAGGCCGGGUCUGAGGGACAGCUGGUGUCCCCUCUCACCUCCACCACACCCCGGCCUUCCAGGAAAGUGGUGAGGCGAGUGAGCCUGACCCAGCGCACCGACCUGUACCGCCAGGAGCAUGCCCAGGAGGCCAUCGUGUGGCAGCAGCCACCACCCCCAAGUCCAGAGCCGCUGGAGGAGGAUGAGGACCACCAGACAGACGCAGAGCUCUGGCUGCCACCCCCAGAGGUGAGAGUCCUGGCCUUGUGCUACCCACCUUCCACGUGGCUUUGGCAUGGGUCCUAGGCUGUGACCUGGCAUCAGUAUGUGAGUUUCCCAUUCACACUGGUCCAGUGUGGAGCUGGGAGGACCAGUGACCUUGUGCCCCUAGGUGGGCCAUGCUCCUCAGGGCUGGGCUGUUGUCCCCCUGCCCCUCACGGUUGUUCUUCUACAACCAGGUAGCCUAGAUCCUGAGGCCAGGGCAAGUAAGAGGAGCUGCCUCCUGACAGCCUUGGGCCCUGAUUCUGCCCACAGGAAGAUGACCCUGAGGUGGCCAGGUCCCACAAUGGCCGAGUAGGGGGCCCCCCAGGGCGGCACCUAUACUCCAAGCGGCUGGACCGGAGUGUGUCGUACCAGCUGAGCCCUGUGGAGAGUACCACCCCAGACACCCUUGUCCGGGACAAGGCCCACCACACCUUGGCCGAACUCAAACGCCAGCGGGCUGCUGCCAAGCUCCUGCGACCACAGCCUGAGGGGCCUGAGGCCCCUGAAUCUGGCUUGUCUGCUGACCCCGUGUCCUCCCAGCCGGACUGCGGCUUCAGGGCAGGCGGGGACCCACCCCUGCUCAAGCUCACAGCCCCAUCUGAGGAGGCCCCGAUGGAGAAGAGGCCAUGCUGCUUGCUCAUGUGAGGGGCUGUACCCAUUUCCAGGCCAGCCCGAGGCUUGCCCUGGAGGCCCACUCAGGGUGUGCCCUGGAACUGCAGGUGGGCAGACACCAGAGUCUUCCCCAGCUUCUACCCCUCAGGACAGUGGACUCUCUGUUGGGGAUGGACUUUAGGCAGAGCCGUAUCUGCAGGCAUCUGCUGCAGAGUGUUUGUCCUGUGACGCUUGAUAAAGGGGUGUUUGUCGUCAAGCCUUCCAGUGUCUCCGCUGGGGAGGGGCAGGCGGUGCUGCUGGACAGGUGCCGCCCAUGCCCUCGAGCAAGCACUCAGGCCUGUAGGUGCGUGCUGGGGCUCGCAAGUAGAGGCCUGGCCCCUGUGUGGGAGGGAGGCCCAAGGGCCACUGGGCAAGAAGCCUGGCCUUCCCCACACCCUCCCUGCCAUAUUCGACUUCCUGGAAGCACUGUUAACUCUUUGUUUUCCUGAGGGCAGUAGGGUACUUCAGAAGGAAGCUCUUUUCGGGCCAGAGCUGAGGGGGACCAUACCAAGGGGCAGGAGUCCUGACCUGCCAAGGGAGGGCGUAUUUUUUCCAGGAUUCCUGGGCCAGAGCCAGUAGAGCAAAUCUGGCACGGCCGGCAUCAGGCACUUCCCAGGGGCAGUGGUUCCCCAAUUCGUGGCCUGUUGCCCUGAUCCUGGGCCCUGGCUGACAACUUGUGCCUGGGCUGGUGUAGGUGACAAGCACUUGGCCACUCAGGCGCCGAGCUGGCUGGGUACAAUGUGUAAGGAUGAAGGGGCCCUUAGGGGACUCAAGCUGGAGGGCUGAGGGCACUGCCAGAUCAUCUCUCUGUCCACAGUAGGCAGCCCUGCAUGGCCACCCGCACUGGGUGGUAUGAGUUUAGGCUACCCUCCUCUCCUUGCUGGGUACUGACCUGGUCUGCUCAGUGUCCAGGGCCCGCCUGCCCUUCUAGCAUCUGUGGUUGGAGGGUUGCUGCCCUUAGCAGGUCUGGGGGAGGGCCAGGGGCUAGCUGCUGGUUAAAUUUAGUGAGUGGGGCGGUACCUCUGCCUAAGGUCCACCUACCACCACAGCUGCCACUUGGGCCCUGAUGCCAGAAGUCAGGCAGUGGCUGGCUCUGACUGGGGCCGGGCUCAUAUUAACCUGUCCUCUGAUGUGAGGGCCAAAGGACAGGCCUGUGAAUUGGGAGGCCAUUGUGGCAGCAGAACUGAGAGGUGCAAGUUGAGAGAGGUAUGUGUGUGUGUGUCUGUGUGCAUGUGUGCGCGCGCGUGCAUUCCCCACUUAGAACUCCUGGUGGCUUCUCUCCCAAUCUGCAGAAACAGAGGAGCCAAGGCUCCCCUUCCGUCUAACCAGCUGCUACUGCCCAGCUCAGAGGGCUGGCUUCCCGACUGUCAGUUCACCCUUGGAUCUGGCUGGCCUGGCAGCCUGCAGAGGCAAACCCUGGGAAUGGCCUGUGAGCCUGUGGAGGUGGGGUUCUGGGGGCCUAUUGCAGUUUACUUCCUGCUCUCUCCACCAAUCAGGAAGGAGGGAAGGUGACAGGCUACCCACCCCCAUGGCUGGGGUGUGGCCCCAAGGGCAACCCCAGGCUCCUGUGUGUUGAAAGGGUAUGAGGGCCACCUGGGGCAAGGGGUUCGCCUGCCCUGUCUGCAGCCCUCCUCCUCCCUCCAGCCCCUUGCAAUGCUGAUCAGGGACCAAGGUCCAGCUGCAGUGUUCUUGUAGUCUCUGGGCCAUGGCCAUUGCCCUGGUGGAACUCAGAGUCUCUACUCCUCACUCGUCCCCCCCAGCCCCCCCAGCAUUCCUAAGGUCUGGCUGUCACCUAGGAGACAGGUCUGUCUGCUGGCCUAAGAAAAGAUGGGGGUGCCAAGAGGGCUAGGCCUCAGCAGUGCCCUGCUGAGGUAAAUCCAGUGGCUACUGGCUGCAGUCUCACCUUAGGGGUCACCCCUACCCAACUCUGCCAACCUCUCAGGUCCACUAGGCCCAGGCAUUGAGCCCUUCCCUCCCCCAACACCAAGGCCGUCUCUCCCUACCCCCCAUGUGGGUCUCCUGCGCUCCUGUCAUGGGGACACUGGGCGGGCACUGGGACUCACCCCAAGCCCCGCCUGCUGCCUCACCCACGCCCUCUGCCUCCCUGGGGCAGAACUGUGCCCAGACUAUGGGGUGGAGCCGAGGCGGCUCCAGCUCCUGCAGCCCUUUCUGUCCCUUUCAUUGGAGCCAGUAGGCUGCAGUGAAGCGGGUGUCCUCUUACGUUGAGCUCCCAAGCCUGGACCCUGCUGCCCCCACCACCACCUCUGGGCCUGCCACCUCCUGAGCCACCUUCCUGCCUGAUCUGAGCAGAGUCAUGGCCUUGAGAGUAGGUGACCAGAGCCGGGCUGCACGGAAUGGGCUGAGGGAGAAGGUGCUGACACUGGACUCCAUGAACCCGUGUGUGCGCAAGGUGGAGUACGCCGUGCGUGGCCCCAUAGUGCUGCGGGCCUUGGAGCUGGAGCAGGAGCUGCGCCAGGUACGGUCCCGAGGCCCUGCUACCCUCCUGCUGUUCCUGGGCUACUAGAUCAGCCUCUGGCCCAGUGGCACUUGGGACUAGGGCUGUGGGGGUAAUGGUGCCCAAUCUGGCUGCCUUCUCCCUUUCCCUCCCAGGGUGUGAAGAAACCCUUCACCGAGGUCAUCCGUGCCAACAUUGGAGAUGCACAGGCCAUGGGGCAGAGGCCCAUCACUUUCUUCCGCCAGGUGAGGCUCCUGUACUGCCUGUGUCCCCUGGCUCCAGCCAUCAGUGUGCCCUGACCUCAUCAUUCCGUCCGCCCAGGUCUUGGCCCUCUGUGUCCACCCAGAUCUCUUGCACAGCCCUGACUUCCCUGAGGAUGCCAAACGAAGGGCUCAGCGCAUCUUGCAGGCAUGCGGGGGCCACAGCCUGGGUGAGUGCUGGUGCCAGGCGGGGACCAAGCCCCAGGAAGAAGCAGAGAAGGGUGGAUCUCUUGGGAGGGUUGCGGGAGGACUAGCC
rnacentral:lncRNA from 1 species